UACGUAGGUGGCAAGCGUUGUCCGGAAUUACUGGGUGUAAAGGGCGUGUAGGCGGGGAUGUAAGUCAGAUGUGAAAUUCCAUGGCUCAACUGUGGCGCUGCAUCUGAAACUAUAUCUCUUGAGUGAUGGAGAGGAAAGUGGAAUUCCUAGUGUAGCGGUGAAAUGCGUAGAUAUUAGGAGGAACACCAGUGGCGAAGGCGACUUUCUGGACAUUAACUGACGCUGAGGCGCGAAAGCGUGGGGAGCAAACAGG
rnacentral:rRNA from 1 species